AUGAACGCUGGCGGCGUGCCUAACACAUGCAAGUCGAGCGAAGCACUUUGCUUAGAUUCUUCGGAUGAAGAGGAUUGUGACUGAGCGGCGGACGGGUGAGUAACGCGUGGGUAACCUGCCUUAUACAGGGGGAUAACAGUUAGAAAUGACUGCUAAUACCGCAUAAGACCACAGCACCGCAUGGUGCGGGGGUAAAAACUCCGGUGGUAUGAGAUGGACCCGCGUCUGAUUAGCUAGUUGGUAAGGUAACGGCUUACCAAGGCGACGAUCAGUAGCCGACCUGAGAGGGUGACCGGCCACAUUGGGACUGAGACACGGCCCAAACUCCUACGGGAGGCAGCAGUGGGGAAUAUUGCACAAUGGGGGAAACCCUGAUGCAGCGACGCCGCGUGAGCGAAGAAGUAUUUCGGUAUGUAAAGCUCUAUCAGCAGGGAAGAAAAUGACGGUACCUGACUAAGAAGCACCGGCUAAAUACGUGCCAGCAGCCGCGGUAAUACGUAUGGUGCAAGCGUUAUCCGGAUUUACUGGGUGUAAAGGGAGCGUAGACGGAUGGGCAAGUCUGAUGUGAAAACCCGGGGCUCAACCCCGGGACUGCAUUGGAAACUGUUCAUCUAGAGUGCUGGAGAGGUAAGUGGAAUUCCUAGUGUAGCGGUGAAAUGCGUAGAUAUUAGGAGGAACACCAGUGGCGAAGGCGGCUUACUGGACAGUAACUGACGUUGAGGCUCGAAAGCGUGGGGAGCAAACAGGAUUAGAUACCCCGGUAGUCCUGGCCGUAAACGAUGGGUACUAGGUGUAGGAGGUAUCGACCCCUUCUGUGCCGGAGUUAACGCAAUAAGUACCCCGCCUGGGGAGUACGUUCGCAAGAAUGAAACUCAAAGGAAUUGACGGGGGCCCGCACAAGCGGUGGAGUAUGUGGUUUAAUUCGACGCAACGCGAAGAACCUUACCUGCUCUUGACAUCCCGCUGACCGGACGGUAAUGCGUCCUUCCCUUCGGGGCAGCGGAGACAGGUGGUGCAUGGUUGUCGUCAGCUCGUGUCGUGAGAUGUUGGGUUAAGUCCCGCAACGAGCGCAACCCCUAUCUUUAGUAGCCAGCGGCCAGGCCGGGCACUCUAGAGAGACUGCCGGGGAUAACCCGGAGGAAGGUGGGGAUGACGUCAAAUCAUCAUGCCCCUUAUGAGCAGGGCUACACACGUGCUACAAUGGCGUAAACAAAGGGAAGCGAGACCGCGAGGUGGAGCAAAUCCCAAAAAUAACGUCUCAGUUCGGAUUGUAGUCUGCAACUCGACUACAUGAAGCUGGAAUCGCUAGUAAUCGCGAAUCAGAAUGUCGCGGUGAAUACGUUCCCGGGUCUUGUACACACCGCCCGUCACACCAUGGGAGUCAGUAACGCCCGAAGUCAGUGACCCAACCGUAAGGAGGGAGCUGCCGAAGGCGGGACCGAUAACUGGGGUG
rnacentral:rRNA from 1 species